GUCCACCAUAGGAGCCCCGGAAAGUGUGGGCCCCCGUGGUGAAAAUUCACCCUGUGGUGCCGUCUCAGGCUGGAGAGGGGACCAGUCGGGGGUCGCGGAAGAGUAACGAGGGGACAUCACCGAAGAAAGCCCCCGCUCCUGUUCUUCAUCCCGAAAGUCGAUCAGGAGAGGCGAGGAGGCCGUGGGUCCCCCUGGUGAUCCCAGAGGAAGCCUCCUGCGAGAUGCAGGAAUAAGCUGGGUGGGCGGAGCCUCGCCGAGGGUGUCCUGGGCAGGCCCGCUGUCCGUGGCCCGGGGCUGUGUCACCCUCUGCUCCUUGGGUGGUUCCGGUCGACGAGGAAGGAAGAUCGGGGCAACCCGUGCUGGAGGGAUUGCUUCCCGAUCCACCUCAGGAGACCAAUCUGGAGCCACGGCGUCGGUGCUGGUAGCCACCGAGACCCGGGCGACGACCCGAGCCGGAGGGCUGCUAGCCCGUACCACCCCAGGAGCCCCGUCAGGGCCCGUAGGGUCAGUAUGGGUGCCCACCGAUACCCGGGUGGCGGUCUGGACCGGCAAGGACUGGGCCGGGCGUACCACCUCAGCGUUGACAGGGGGGUCGGCGAAGGCCGCGACGAUCAGAGCCUCGGCCUUCCCGAGGGUGUCCCCCAUCAGUCUGCGUCCCAGAUGUUUCUUGGCCCAUGUAGAGGCCAGCUGAAAAGCGGGUCUCCAGACCUCAUCAAUAAAACUGGUUAUCUUGUCCAA